rnacentral:rRNA from 1 species
AACGAACGCUGGCGGCAUGCCUAACACAUGCAAGUCGAACGAGACCUUCGGGUCUAGUGGCGCACGGGUGCGUAACGCGUGGGAAUCUACCCUUGGGUUCGGAAUAACAGUUAGAAAUGACUGCUAAUACCGGAUGAUGACGUAAGUCCAAAGAUUUAUCGCCCAAGGAUGAGCCCGCGUAAGAUUAGCUUGUUGGUGGGGUAAUGGCCUACCAAGGCGACGAUCUUUAGCUGGUCUGAGAGGAUGAUCAGCCACACUGGGACUGAGACACGGCCCAGACUCCUACGGGGGGCAGCAGUGGGGAAUAUUGGACAAGGGGCGAAAGCCUGAUCCAGCAAUGCCGCGUGAGUGAUGAAGGCCUUAGGGUUGUAAAGCUCUUUUACUAGGGAUGAUAAUGACAGUACCUGGAGAAUAAGCUCCGGCUAACUCCGUGCCAGCCGCCGCGGUAA